AAGUCACACGGGCGUGUCAACUCCGAUGAUCCGAACGAUAAAUUUGCUUCCGUAAUUAUUGCACAUAAGUAGUGCAGAUUGACGAAACGAUGGUCAAGAAUCACUACAACUCGACGCUGCGGACGGCAGCGGUGAAUCCCUUCGUGCCCCCAGCUCUGAGCCCCCCCAGCCCCCGGUCCCCUCCCACGCUGGCCGGUUGGCGACGCGUCUCGUCGCGUCACCACCGCACCGGCCGGCGCGGCGGGGUGCGGCGAGCCGCUCGCAAUGUUUUGCUUCGGUAACCUUGCACAGUACUAAAUCGAACUGCACCGGUCGCGGAUCCCCAGUCACACUCAUCUCGAAUUCAUACAUUUUUUUUUGCACUCGUAUUCAUUCGAUUUUUCCCCGAGAGAAAGAACUUUUAAUGAGUGUUUGUGUUCUGGUGAAUGGAUGUUUCGGUGCGCGUUAAGUUGAGUGAAUCCGGCGGGAAAAUGCAGAACUUAGUGCGUCUUACGCUGAUCGCGGCGUGUCUCUGCGCCGCUACCGGCACCCCGCUCCCCGCGCCAGCCCCCGUCGCCAGACGUGCUGACCGCAGUGACCAAAGUGAAGCAUACGCUGCAUCAGAAGAUCACCUAUUCAACGACGAGGGUUUCCCUUUGAGAGCCAGCGCCCGGAUCGGAGAUGCCGGCUCGAACCCUGAUUCAGAGGCGCGAGGCUUCUCAGGGCAUCGUGGGCAAUACAAGGGGUACCGCAGACCCGCCUCGACUGUCCCUGCAGAGCUCCGUGCUGGCGACCAACCUCCUUUCAAUGAUCCAUUCUCUGGUUUCUUCUUCGACAUGCAAGACAUGAUGAAAAUCCUGCGUGAUCAAAUGUCGGUUGUUCUGUCACGAGUUCCACCGAAAUCGAUGAAUGGUAACGAUGACCCGUUGAGUUUCGUCCCCUCCGAUGUGAGAAAUCAGACGACGACCAAAGUAGAUUUCGUGGACGGGCACAAAGUGGUGAUCAACGACACUACGUACUCGAACGGGGACACCAACAGCGGCUCCAUCUUCCACGUCCAGAUCGUGGACCUCCUGCCGCUGGACGAGGACGGGGAAGGUCCCUCCGUUGGGGCUCCGAGCCCCAAGCAACCGGCGGGUCCUCAGCGACCCAACGAGCUGGACUCCAACAACCGUGACGUGGAGGAACUCGAGGACGACGAAGACGACGAGAUCGGCGAGGACAUCGAUGAAGCCCCGAAGAAGGACGUCGCGAAGGAGAAGGGGAAGAAACCGGCAGUGGCUCCCAAGCCCAAGCCUGGAGACAAAGAGCAGGGCACAGGGAGCAAAGGUCCUCGCGCCGAGAGCGGGAAGGGCAAAGAGAAAGAUGUAGAAGAGGUGGAGGUUGUCGCCGAUGGCGUAGAGGAUGAACCAGAGGGCGAGGACAUCCCCGACCUGGAAGAGAGGAACAAGCAACAAGCCGAUUCACUCCUGAAAGCUGAGUCACGUUGGAGAACGAAAUCGACAACCGCAUUGACUCAUAUCAGCCGUAUACUGAUUAUCAGCCUUACUAUAACACAUACCGACCUACAGGUAAUUACUACGAACCCAACAGACGAGCCAGCCAAUUUACAACCAUCAGCCAGGAUUCAAUGCUUAUGGACCUCGAUACUUCACCAGCAGACCAGUUUACAACACAAAUUCGCCCAACUAUAA
rnacentral:lncRNA from 1 species